rnacentral:rRNA from 1 species
AGUGAACGCUGGCGGUAGGCCUAACACAUGCAAGUCGAACGGCAGCACAGUAAGAGCUUGCUCUUACGGGUGGCGAGUGGCGGACGGGUGAGGAAUACAUCGGAAUCUACUUUUUCGUGGGGGAUAACGUAGGGAAACUUACGCUAAUACCGCAUACGACCUACGGGUGAAAGCAGGGGAUCUUCGGACCUUGCGCGAGUGAAUGAGCCGAUGUCGGAUUAGCUAGUUGGCGGGGUAAAGGCCCACCAAGGCGACGAUCCGUAGCUGGUCUCAGAGGAUGAUCAGCCACACUGGAACUGAGACACGGUCCAGACUCCUACGGGAGGCAGCAGUGGGGAAUAUUGGACAAUGGGCGCAAGCCUGAUCCAGCCAUACCGCGUGGGUGAAGAAGGCCUUCGGGUUGUAAAGCCCUUUUGUUGGGAAAGAAAAGCAGCAGGUUAAUACCCCGCUGUUCUGACGGUACCCAAAGAAUAAGCACCGGCUAACUUCGUG